UACGUAGGGGGCGAGCGUUGUCCGGAAUUAUUGGGCGUAAAGAGCGUGUAGGCGGCCAGGUAGGUCUGGUGUGAAAACUCGAGGCUUAACCUCGAGAUGUCAUCGGAAACCAUCUGGCUAGAGUCCGGAAGAGGAGAGUGGAAUUCCUGGUGUAGCGGUGAAAUGCGCAGAUAUCAGGAGGAACACCGGUGGCGAAGGCGGGUCUCUGGGCCGAAACUGACGCUGAGGAGCGAAAGCGUGGGGAGCGAACAGG
rnacentral:rRNA from 1 species